GCCAGCAGCCAUAUCACCCUGAAAGUCCCAACUGGCAACCCACUGAAACUAAGCAGGUGUGAGCCUAGUCAGUACCUGGUUGGGAGACCUCCUGGGAAAACUAAGGUUGCUGCUGGUA
rnacentral:rRNA from 1 species